AUUGAACGCUGGCGGCAGGCCUAACACAUGCAAGUCGAGCGGAUGAAGGGAGCUUGCUCCUGGAUUCAGCGGCGGACGGGUGAGUAAUGCCUAGGAAUCUGCCUGGUAGUGGGGGAUAACGUCCGGAAACGGGCGCUAAUACCGCAUACGUCCUGAGGGAGAAAGUGGGGGAUCUUCGGACCUCACGCUAUCAGAUGAGCCUAGGUCGGAUUGGCUAGUUGGUGGGGUAAAGGCCUACCAAGGCGACGAUCCGUAACUGGUCUGAGAGGAUGAUCAGUCACACUGGAACUGAGACACGGUCCAGACUCCUACGGGAGGCAGCAGUGGGGAAUAUUGGGCAAUGGGCGAAAGCCUGAUCCAGCCAUGCCGCGUGUGUGAAGAAGGUCUUCGGGUUGUAAAGCACUUUAAGUUGGGAGGAAGGGCAGUAAGUUAAUACCUUGCUGUUUUGACGUUACCAACAGAAUAAGCACCGGCUAACUUCGUG
rnacentral:rRNA from 1 species